GACGAACGCUGGCGGCAUGCUUAACACAUGCAAGUCGAACGGAAAGGCCCUUCGGGGUACUCGAGUGGCGAACGGGUGAGUAACACGUGGGUGAUCUGCCCUGCACUUUGGGAUAAGCCUGGGAAACUGGGUCUAAUACCGAAUAGGACCACGCGCUUCAUGGUGUGUGGUGGAAAGCUUUUGCGGUGUGGGAUGGGCCCGCGGCCUAUCAGCUUGUUGGUGGGGUAAUGGCCUACCAAGGCGACGACGGGUAGCCGGCCUGAGAGGGUGACCGGCCACACUGGGACUGAGAUACGGCCCAGACUCCUACGGGAGGCAGCAGUGGGGAAUAUUGCACAAUGGGCGCAAGCCUGAUGCAGCGACGCCGCGUGAGGGAUGACGGCCUUCGGGUUGUAAACCUCUUUCAAUAGGGACGAAGCGCAAGUGACGGUACCUAUAGAAGAAGCACCGGCCAACUACGUG
rnacentral:rRNA from 1 species